rnacentral:rRNA from 1 species
AAACCAACAGGGAUUGCCCUAGUAACGGCGAGUGAAGCGGCAAGAGCUCAAAUUUGAAAUCUGGCCCUCUCAGGGUCCGAGUUGUAAUUUGUAGAGGGCGCUUUGGCGUUGGCCCCGGCCUAAGUUCCUUGGAACAGGACGUCACAGAGGGUGAGAACCCCGUACGUGGCCGCCGGCCUCCGCCGUGUAAAGCCCCUUCGACGAGUCGAGUUGUUUGGGAAUGCAGCUCUAAAUGGGAGGUAAAUUUCUUCUAAAGCUAAAUACUGGCCAGAGACCGAUAGCGCACAAGUAGAGUGAUCGAAAGAUGAAAAGCACUUUGGAAAGAGAGUCAAAAAGCACGUGAAAUUGUUGAAAGGGAAGCGCUUGCAGCCAGACUUGCCUGUAGUUGCUCAUCCGAGCUCCCGCUCGGUGCACUCUUCUGCGGGCAGGCCAGCAUCAGUCCGGGCGGUCGGAUAAAGGCCUCGGGAAUGUAGCUCCCCUCGGGGAGUGUUAUAGCCCGGGGCGCCAUGCGACCAGCCUGGACUGAGGUCCGCGCAUCUGCUAGGAUGCUGGCGUAAUGGCUGUAAGCGGC